UACAAUUUUCGUCUGUCUGUCCGUUUGUUCUCGAUAAUCUCAGAAAUGGCUGGACCGAUUUUGACAGGACUUUGAUUGGCAAGCAGCUGAUGUACUAAGGAAUUACUUAGGCUAUUUUUAAUUGGCAGAAAAUCCGUGAUCCUUGGAAGCUGCGGACUAAGUGAUCCCUGCGGCUAGCGUGUUUACCAAUGUUGUAGUAUUGUUGUUACAAUGUUUCUACAAUGUACUUAACCUAAAGCCGUAAACCAAGAUUACACAAUUUUGUUUUUAUAAUAAAACAGGACGCAUUACUUUAACUAACACCUUCUCCGAUAAAAUUUUGACAUCCACCAGGAGACAUAGAAAACGAAAUCUAAAGUCAUUAGAUGUCACUCCAAAAUGCUACCAUGAAGCAAACGUGAACUAAAAUGUAUUAAAAUUACUAUAAAUGAACAAUAACCGACCUCCGAUAAUAUACUGGUACAAUGGCCUAACGACAGGAGUUGUCCCAAACCACAAUCAUAAAAUUUUACUAUAGAAGAGCUGUGAAAAAAAUGCGUCAAAAUGUGCGAUGCGAUGAAGUCAGAGAAUGCUAUGAGACACUGCGCUCACCGUCCGAGGGAAACGCGAGGCAGAUACAAGAGGUUUAGGCUUGCCAUCAAAUCAUGCGCCAGGCGACUGAGACGACCACAUGACAAAUGGGAACUUGGCAUUGUAGUGAGCACGGUGGCCGCGUGGAUUGGCGCUCUGGUCGUCACCGGAGUAGUCGUGAGGUCUCUCUACUUGAUGUACAUCAAACCAGAUACCACUUGACUAUUAAGAAAUAAAUCGUAGCUCCCAAAAUAUGAGCAGUUACAUGAUCGGCAAUAAAAUACUAAAUGUUCAGGCAAAAGCAGACUCGCCUGUAUCGGCUGAAGAGGUCUAUCUACAUGAGGUCUAUGAGGAAGAAAGGUCUAUUGAGCUACAACGCCUACCUUGGCAACGUGGUGCUUUGGACCGGGCUGCUGUGCGUCCUGGCGCUCGUCCUGCGCACCCUGUACAACAGAUUCAAAAUCCCACAAACUGUCCCCAUUUCUCGGCUGUAGCAACGAUACGAAGGCACUAGUUAUUUUACAUAUACUUUUGAAUUAUG